rnacentral:rRNA from 1 species
UAGGGAAUCAUCCGCAAUGGGCGAAAGCCUGACGGUGCAAUGCCGCGUGAGUGAUGAAGGUUUUCGGAUCGUAAAGCUCUGUUGUGAGGGAAGAACAAGUUCGGGAGGAAAUGCCCGAGCCGUGACGGUACCUCACCAGAAAGCCACGGCUAACUACGUGCCAGCAGCCGCGGUAAUACGUAGGUGGCAAGCGUUGUCCGGAAUUAUUGGGCGUAAAGGGCACGCAGGCGGUUCUUUAAGUCUGAUGUGAAAGGCUGUGGCUCAACCACAGAAUUGCAUUGGAAACUGGAGAACUUGAGUGCAGAAGAGGAGAGUGGAAUUCCACGUGUAGCGGUGAAAUGCGUAGAUAUGUGGAGGAACACCAGUGGCGAAGGCGACUCUCUGGUCUGUAACUGACGCUGAGGUGCGAAAGCGUGGGGAGCAAACAGG